GGUCGACUAAGUGAAUGCAAUGCUUCAGCAUCAUCUGGCUUGUGAUCCUGGUGGGAACGAAAGUAGAUAAGAAUGCUUUCAAAGUACAUUGCGUGUCAUUAUCCGUCAUCAGACACAAAGAAAGACUCUUCAUCCUUGACAUGACAUGAAUAUGUUCUUAUGCAAACAGAGAGUAUUACCUUUUUCCAAGUUCUAUUAAGAUCGUUUCCUUGAACAGGGGAUGUUUAUUAUGUGUUUGUUUUUUCAAUUCAUUCAUGCUUAAUAAAAAAGAACUUCAUUACUUGUUAGCAAAAGAUCCAACCAAAAGCUUAAAGCACUAGUUAGAGGUAGAUUCAAUGUAUAUAACCCCUGUUGAAACCCUUUAUCUAACCAAUGUGGAAUGACACUUCUAAUAAUGGAUUGAUUUUGGCAACUACUCAUGUCUAUGUGGUUUUGAUUGCAUGUCUAGUAGCUUAUGUCCACUUAUUCUGUCAUGGAUUAAUAAGCUACUGGAGGCACCAUCAUAAAAUUUUUACUUUUCUCAAGUCCAGGACGCCAAUGUUGAGAUGACAAAUUUCCAUGGAUCUAUAUGCAACUUUGUUUGUCAAAUGAGAUGCUAAUACAUAGAUUGCUCAAUCCGAUGAUGGAUGCGUGGCCUUGAUCCUGUCGAAAGAAACAUACUGUAUGGUGGAAAAUCUGGAGCUUCACUGUAAUUUUGGCAAUAAUGUGAUAUCCGAACCAAAUAUCUGGGAUAUGGAUGCAACGAGGACAUUCUUUAAGCCGAUUGCAUUGCGUUGUGCUCUAUGAACGGGAGCUGUCCAUCAUAGUAAUGAAAACAGAUGCCAUUGUUGCAGAAUAGAAUUGGAAGUUCAACCUACCAAAUACAAGAGGACUGUGGAAAUGACCAACUACGAUCCUGGCGAGUGUGUUCACCUUCUUAACUCCAAACCCUGCAGUCUAUCCCUGCAGUUUAUUCAAUAGGGGAGAUAUCUUGUGGCUCUUGAUAUAUAAUCGCUUGUUCAUAGUCAGCGAAGCAUGGCAAAGUUGCAAUUCUGGAUGGUCAAAUCCAACUGACGGAGAAGGAUGAGUUUGUUUACCAAGAGAUGCUCACGCAUCUUCCCCUCUGCUCAAUCCCAAACCUGAAGAAGUGCUGCUUGUUGGUGGCAGAGAUGGAGGCAUUCUGAGGGAAAUAUGUCUGUCACUCGUCCGUGGAACAAAUCGAUGUGUGUGAACUCGACCAAAUGGUGAUUGAUGUUUACAAGCAAUUCUUCCCUGAAAUAGCAGUUGCGUACGAGGAUCCGCGAGUGAACGUCUACAUUAAAGAUGG